CAAUUUGAAAUCUGGCUCUUUUAGAGUCCGAGUUGUAAUUUGCAGAGGGCGCUUUGGCUUUGGCAGCGGUCCAAGUUCCUUGGAACAGGACGUCACAGAGGGUGAGAAUCCCGUACGUGGUCGCUGGCUAUUGCCGUGUAAAGCCCCUUCGACGAGUCGAGUUGUUUGGGAAUGCAGCUCUAAAUGGGAGGUACAUUUCUUCUAAAGCUAAAUAUUGGCCAGAGACCGAUAGCGCACAAGUAGAGUGAUCGAAAGAUGAAAAGCACUUUGGAAAGAGAGUCAAACAGCACGUGAAAUUGUUGAAAGGGAAGCGCUUGCAGCCAGACUUGCUUGCAGUUGCUCAUCCGGGCUUUUGCCCGGUGCACUCUUCUGCAGGCAGGCCAGCAUCAGUUUGGGCGGUAGGAUAAAGGUCUCUGUCACGUACCUCUCUUCGGGGAGGCCUUAUAGGGGAGGCGACAUACUACCAGCCUGGACUGAGGUCCGCGCAUCUGCUAGGAUGCUGGCGUAAUGGCUGUAAGCGGCCCGUCUUGAAACACGGACC
rnacentral:rRNA from 1 species